CGUUGGAAGAUUCGACCUUGACA
rnacentral:miRNA from 9 species